AUUGAACGCUGGCGGCAGGCCUAACACAUGCAAGUCGAGCGAGCGGCGGACGGGUGAGUAAUGUAUGGGGACUGCCCGAUAGAGGGGGAUAACUACUGGAAACGGUAGCUAAUUCCGCAUACUAUCGGAUAACCCAUAUGGGAUUAGCUAGUAGGUGCGGUAAUGGCUCACCUAGGCAACGAUCCCUAGCUGGUCUGAGAGGCUGAUCAGCCACACUGGGACGGAGACACGGCCCAGACUCCUACGGAGGCAGCAGGGGGGAAUAUUGCAAAAUGGGCGAAAGCCUGAUGCAGCCAGGCGGGGUGGAUGAAGAAGGCCCUAGGGUGGUAAAGUACUUUCAGUCGGGAGGCGUUACCGACAGAAGAAGCACCGGCUAACUCCGUGCCAGCAGCCGCGGUAAUUC
rnacentral:rRNA from 1 species